UACGUAGGUGGCAAGCGUUGUCCGGAAUUAUUGGGCGUAAAGCGCGCGCAGGCGGUCCUUUAAGUCUGAUGUGAAAGCCCACGGCUCAACCGUGGAGGGUCAUUGGAAACUGGGGGGACUUGAGUACAGAAGAGAAGAGUGGAAUUCCACGUGUAGCGGUGAAAUGCGUAGAGAUGUGGAGGAACACCAGUGGCGAAGGCGACUCUUUGGUCUGUAACUGACGCUGAGGCGCGAAAGCGUGGGG
rnacentral:rRNA from 1 species